GAUGAACGCUGGCGGUGUGCCUAAUACAUGCAAGUCGAACGCGUUGGCCCAAUUGAUUGAUGGUGCUUGCACCUGAUUGAUUUUGGUCGCCAACGAGUGGCGGACGGGUGAGUAACACGUAGGUAACCUGCCCAGAAGCGGGGGACAACAUUUGGAAACAGAUGCUAAUACCGCAUAACAGCGUUGUUCGCAUGAACAACGCUUAAAAGAUGGCUUCUCGCUAUCACUUCUGGAUGGACCUGCGGUGCAUUAGCUUGUUGGUGGGGUAACGGCCUACCAAGGCGAUGAUGCAUAGCCGAGUUGAGAGACUGAUCGGCCACAAUGGGACUGAGACACGGCCCAUACUCCUACGGGAGGCAGCAGUAGGGAAUCUUCCACAAUGGGCGCAAGCCUGAUGGAGCAACACCGCGUGAGUGAAGAAGGGUUUCGGCUCGUAAAGCUCUGUUGUUAAAGAAGAACACGUAUGAGAGUAACUGUUCAUACGUUGACGGUAUUUAACCAGAAAGUCACGGCUAACUACGUGCCAGCAGCCGCGGUAAUACGUAGGUGGCAAGCGUUAUCCGGAUUUAUUGGGCGUAAAGAGAGUGCAGGCGGUUUUCUAAGUCUGAUGUGAAAGCCUUCGGCUUAACCGGAGAAGUGCAUCGGAAACUGGAUAACUUGAGUGCAGAAGAGGGUAGUGGAACUCCAUGUGUAGCGGUGGAAUGCGUAGAUAUAUGGAGGAACACCAGUGGCGAAGGCGGCUAUCUGGUCUGUAACUGACGCUGAGGCUCGAAAGCGUGGGGAGCAAACAGGAUUAGAUACCCUGGUAGUCCACGCCGUAAACGAUGAGUGCUAAGUGUUGGAGGGUUUCCGCCCUUCAGUGCUGCAGCUAACGCAUUAAGCACUCCGCCUGGGGAGUACGACCGCAAGGUUG
rnacentral:rRNA from 1 species